rnacentral:rRNA from 1 species
GCCUACGGGGGGCAGCAGUGAGGAAUAUUGGUCAAUGGGCGCGAGCCUGAACCAGCCAAGUCGCGUGAGGGAAGACGGUCCUAUGGAUUGUAAACCUCUUUUGUCGGGGAGCAAAAGACGCCACGUGUGGCGUUCCGAGAGUACCCGAAGAAAAAGCAUCGGCUAACUCCGUGCCAGCAGCCGCGGUAAUACGGAGGAUGCGAGCGUUAUCCGGAUUUAUUGGGUUUAAAGGGUGCGCAGGCGGAAGAUCAAGUCAGCGGUAAAAUUGAGAGGCUCAACCUCUUUGAGCCGUUGAAACUGGUUUU